AACGGCCGCGGUAUCCUAACCGUGCAAAGGUAGCAUAAUCACUUGCCUAUUAAUUGUAGGCUAGAAUGAAUGGGUUAACGAAAUAAAGACUGUCUCAAUUAAUCACCUAAAAAUUACUAUCUAUUUGAAGAAGGGUAGAUAAUCUCGAAGGACAAGAAGACCCUAUAGAGCUUAAUUUUAAUUAUAGAAAUAUACUAUAAAAAUAUUCGGUUGGGGCGACCCAGGGCUAAUCAAUCACCCACUACAUAAAAGAUAGAUUAAUCAAGUAAUUGACCCCUAAAAGAUCAUAAGAACAAGCUACCUUAGGGAUAACAGGCUAAUCCCACUCAAGAGUCCUUAUCAACAGUGGGGUUUGGCACCUCGAUGUUGGCUUAGG
rnacentral:rRNA from 1 species